rnacentral:rRNA from 1 species
CACGUAGGGCGCAAGCGUUGUCCGGAAUUAUUGGGCGUAAAGGGCGCGUAGGCGGCCUGGCAAGUGGAAGGUGAAAUCCCUCGGCUUAACCGAGGAACUGCCCUCCAAACUGCUUGGCUUGAGUCCGGAAGAGGUGAGUGGAAUUCCCAGUGUAGCGGUGAAAUGCGUAGAUAUUGGGAGGAACACCAGUGGCGAAGGCGGCUCACUGGACCGGAACUGACGCUGAGGCGCGAAAGCGUGGGGAGCAAACGGG